rnacentral:misc_RNA from 1 species
CGCACAUUGCGCCCAUUGGUAUUCCGAUGGGCAUGCCUGUUCGAGCGUCAUUAUCCUCUCUCAAACCACUGUGUUUGGUGUUGGACCGUGGUGGUUGUCUACAACCCCCAGGUCUCAAAGACAAUGACGGCGUCCGUGGGACCCUCUUCGCAACGAGCUUCUCGAAGCACGCGUAGAGUAUCAAGGACCUUCCGGGCCGGUCUACCUCUCAAGUGGUAGGAGGACAUUCGUCCACCUAUCUCUUGGGUCUAUUUUCUCAGGUUGACCUCGGAUCAGGUAGGAAUACCCGCUGAACUUAA